UUUCUCCUUAAAGCAUGGCUCUUUUGCAUGGAUCUUUUUUUCCAGAUAACACAUUCAUCUUAUUUUAAUGCUCUGUUUCUUUGAAUUUUGUCUUGCAGAGUGGAGAAACGAUGAGAGACAUUCUCGAUCGUCGCAGAAUACUGGCACAACUCGUAGGAAAGCACCUCAGCCUCCGACUCCAACUGAACCACAGGCCCCCUUUGCCAGCACGACAAAUAAUUCUCGGUCGCCCUCUUCUGAGCAAUUACAGGAUGGCUCCAAUAAAACAUCGAAAGUUGAAGCACCAAAACCAGCAGAAAAACCAGCUGCUGCUGCCCCAAAACCCAAACCGCCGCCAGUCAAGAAACAAUAUUCCUCAGAUAGCGAGGACAGUGAAGAGGACACUCGCGACCAAGAAGGUCGCCUCAUCACCAAAGGUGGACAAGAGAUUAUGCGUUCCAGUGCUGGUAACGUGAAAAGAACAAAGAAGAAAUAGAAGCAGAUCCAGAGCAAGAGGAUGAAUUCGGCUACACUUUAAGUAAGUUCCAGAAUUUACAAUUUCUAACCUUCUCUCAGUGAUUUACGUGUGUUUUUGUUUAUGUCUCUUCUUAUAUGUUACCCAUCAAUCAAGGAUGC
rnacentral:lncRNA from 1 species